UGGGGAAUUUUGGACAAUGGGGGAAACCCUGAUCCAGCCAUGCCGCGUGCGGGAAGAAGGCCUUCGGGUUGUAAACCGCUUUUAGUCGGGAAGAAAAGGCGGCCCCUAAUACGGGUCGUUUUUGACGGUACCGGCGGAAUAAGCACCGGCUAACUACGUGCCAGCAGCCGCGGUAAUACGUAGGGUGCGAGCGUUAAUCGGAAUUACUGGGCGUAAAGCGUGCGCAGGCGGUUCGACAAGUCCGAUGUGAAAGCCCCGGGCUCAACCUGGGAAUGGCAUUGGAAACUGGCGGGCUCGAGUGUGGCAGAGGGGGGUGGAAUUCCGCGUGUAGCAGUGAAAUGCGUAGAGAUGCGGAGGAACACCGAUGGCGAAGGCAGCCCCCUGGGCUAACACUGACGCUCAGGCACGAAAGCGUGGGGAGCAAACAGG
rnacentral:rRNA from 1 species